AAACCGUGGAGGCCUAUUACAGAAACUGCUAAUUUCCGUACCCGAAGUUAACUGCU
rnacentral:tRNA from 1 species